GGCCUCGUAGCUCAGCGGAUAGAGCGACGGUUUCCUAAACCGCAGGCCGGAGGUUCGAUUCCUCUCGAGGCCGCCA
rnacentral:tRNA from 1 species